rnacentral:rRNA from 1 species
UACAGAGGCCACAAGCGUUAGUCGGAAUCACUGGGCUUAAAGGGUGCGUAGGCGGAUCGGUAAGUGUUCUGUGAAAGCCCCCGGCUCAACCGGGGAACUGCAGGGCAUACUGCCGAUCUUGAGGCAGGUAGGGGUCGCGAGAACUGUAGGUGGAGCGGUGAAAUGCGUAGAUAUCUACAGGAAUGCCGAUGGUGAAGACGCGCGACUGGGCCUGUCCUGACGCUGAGGCACGAAAGCGUGGGGAGCAAAC